rnacentral:rRNA from 1 species
AUUGAACGCUGGCGGCAGGCCUAACACAUGCAAGUCGAGCGGAUGAAGGGAGCUUGCUCCUGGAUUCAGCGGCGGACGGGUGAGUAAUGCCUAGGAAUCUGCCUGGUAGUGGGGGAUAACGUCCGGAAACGGGCGCUAAUACCGCAUACGUCCUGAGGGAGAAAGUGGGGGAUCUUCGGACCUCACGCUAUCAGAUGAGCCUAGGUCGGAUUAGCUAGUUGGUGGGGUAAAGGCCUGCCAAGGCGACGAUCCGUAACUGGUCUGAGAGGAUGAUCAGUCACACUGGAACUGGGACACGGUCCAGACUCCUACGGGAGGGAGCAGUGGGGAAUAUUGGGCAAUGGGCGAAAGCCUGAUCCAGCCAUGCCGCGUGUGUGAAGAAGGUCUUCGGAUUGUAAAGCACUUUAAGUUGGGAGGAAGGGCAGUAAGUUAAUACCUUGCUGUUUUGACGUUACCAACAGAAUAAGCACCGGCUAACUUCGUG